UGACAGGCAUUUUAAUGGUGAACAGCCUGAGGCAGGUGGUGGUCAGGUGACAACUCCAGUCUUCACUCCUACCAAGGGCCUGCACUCACUGCCAGCAGGAUCGCGUGGUUGGUGCUCUUCUGGAGCAGGACAGAGCAGUGUGAACUGGUUCACAGCGUCCUCUCAUGCUCUUAGCUCCAGGAGAGGAGGGAAGAAUGAAGGGAAACUAGGGCAGCAGAUUGUCUCUGACUCUUGGCACUGUCCCCAGAGACCCUCCUACAACAGCCAAGUGCAGGACCUGCUCACCACAGGAAGAAACAGGUCCUGCAGGGACUCAGGGACAGAGUUGCAUAAAAGGUUUGGUGGGAAGGAAACUCGAUUCAACAAAGUCAAACAUACCUGAGUGCCUACGAUGCACACGGCGCUGGCCUGGGCAGGACAGUACAGAGGGGUGAGCUAUAGCCGGGGCAGACAACCUAAAAGGGUUUCUAUCUUUUGAUAGGCCCCACCUACUUACAAAGAACCCUCAGAUGAUUCUGUCAGCCAAGGAAGGGGCCUAACAGUGACUUACACAUCUCUGCAAAGACACUCAUGGAAACUACCAUACUAAUGAACAUAGUCCUUUAUUCAUCAACGUAAACAGAAAACCAAAGAUUGCAAAUAUAUUAGGAAAACCAACAGCAUGGAAGAGAAGAUCCAAGUUGGACCAAUAGAAAAAUUGACCUUGGAGGAAACAGAGAUAAUUUAGGAAAGAAAGAUUUUAUAAAAAUUGUGGUCACUAUCUUCAGAAUAAUUUGAGAAGAUGCUGCAUUCAAGAACUGAGAAGAGGUGGCUAUGGGAAAGGAACAAGCAAAGAACAAGAAAAGAUUCUUGGGAAUUAAAAGUGGGAUUGCAAUAGGGAACACUCAAUAAGUGCGCCAAAUAAUAAAUUGGAUGCAGCGAAAGACCAAGCAGUUGAUCUGGAAUCAAGGAAUCUCAGAAUGUAGAGCAAGAAAAACAAAGAGACAGCAAACAUAAGAGAGUGCCAAGGACAGACACAGAGAUCCAGCAUCUGUCUGAUUAGGAAAGAACAGAGAAAAUGAAAGAGAGAGAAUACCCAAAGAAGUCACAGAACAACAUUUUCUUAAGCUCAAGAAAUAUGUGAGUCUUUAAGACUGAAAGUGUUCACUGAACAAAAUUAAGGUAAAAGGGUUAAACUCUUAGGCAUGGUGGCUCAUGCCUAUAAUCCCAGCACUUUGGGAGGCUAAGGCAGGAGGAUCACUUGAGCCCAGAAUUUCAAGACUAGCCUGGGCAAUAUGGUGAGACCCCAUCUGUACAAAAAAUUUAAAAAUUAGCCAGGCGUGAUGUCGCACACCUGUAGUCCCAGUUACUCAGAAGGCUGAGGUGGGAGGAUCACUCAAAUCUGGGAGGUGGAGGCUGCAGUGAACUAUGAUUGCACCACUGCACUCCAGCCUGGGGCAACACAGUGAGACCCUGCCUCAAUAAAAAGAAAAAAAUAAGAUUAAACCUCCCUCACUAGCAUUCUCAGUUCUCCUUACUCUAUUUAUUCCUUUUUUUGAUAGCACUAUAUAAUACUAGCACACUACAUAAUUGUCUUAUGCAUUAUGCAUAUUAUUUAUGACCUGUCUCCCCUGCUAGAAUGUAAGUUCCAGGAGGGCAGGAAUCUUUGAUUUGUUCCCUAAUGAAGCCCAGCACCUUGAACAGUGCCUUGCACCCUGGAGCCAUCAGUAAAGAUACGUCAAAUUGAAUUAAAAUCCAGACACAUCUUGGUACAAUUUCACAACUCCAAAUAUAAAUGGGAAAUCUUAAAAUCUUGGGGAUUUCCUAGAAAGAAAAAGAAACAGAACUUUCACCUGACAUGAACAACAUUGGAUCCUGGACAACAAUGAAUAACAUAACAUCUUCAUAGUUAGCAAGGAAGAAAAGCUUGGUACAAUCUAAACCCUGCCGAAGUACCAGUUAUUUGUAAAGGCAAUCGUAGGGCAUUUUCAGACAUACAAGAACUUGGAACAUUUACUGUUCAUAUUCCUUGGAUGACAAAAUUAUUCAAACAUAUUUUCCAGCAAAAAUUAAAGGAGGGUCCAAGAAAAAGGACAACAUGGGAUACAAGAAAUUGAAACCCCAAAGAAGUGAAAGAAGCCAGCAAGAGAUUAAGAGGAUUCAUCAUUUUCAGAUGCCCAAAAGGAUUUCCUUGGACCAACAUUUCAAAUGGCAUGAGGAUUUACAUUUAUUAAUAUUCCCUGGCUCCAGUCAUAUUAAUUGGUUCUUUUUUUAAUGGGGGUUUUCCAGUAAAAAAAAACAAAAAACAAACAAACAAAAAAAAGAAAACCUGCUAGACAAAUUCUAAAAGAGCUGUAACAAUUGGUUAUUUAGUUAAUAAUAUUUACAUAGUCACAAAGCUGAAAUGCUAUUUAAAAGUUUUUAAUUUUUGAAACAAUUAUAGGCAAAACAUAGAAAACUUACUUGGAGUUACAAAAUAAAAUGUAAAUUUUAUAAACGUUUACCCUGUAAGAACAGUAACUGACAAAAAUUGAGGUGAGGGCAGGGGGUGAGCAGAAAAUAUGCUUCUUUUAAAAAAAAACAAAAUUGAAAUCCCCUCUGCAGUCCUGGUCCUCUCUCUCCAUCUGUAGAAGCAAUCACUCUCCUGAAAUUGGGGCAUGAUCAACCCAUAUUUAUAUACUUUACCUAUAAACAAUAUAUAGUUAUUUUAUAAAAAUUUAAAGUUUAUGUAAAUAAUAUCCUUACAUGUUUUUUUCACUUAAGUUUUUGAAAUCCACUGAUUUUUAUACAUUUGGUCACUCAUUUUCACUGUUAGAGUAUUGACUAUACCACAAUUUUUCAUUCCCCUCACUAAUGGGCCACUGAGUUGUUUCACUACUCUAAACCACGUUGUAGUGAAUAUCCUUGUACUGUUCGCCUUGUGCACAUGCUCAGGAGUUUCUCCAGGGCACCAAUGCCUAAAAGUGAAAUGGCCAGGUGCUGGGUGUGUGCACGUUAUUUGGAGCCUCUUUAUACUUGGUCGGUCCAUCGCUUCUCUGUGAUUUGGCUGAGAUCAAGUGUGUACUUGAUCAGUCCAGGACCAGCUCCAGCCGGUUCCUUUACUAACCUGCUGAGCUCUGAAAGCAAAGGCCCUUUAAGAGUCACUCAGCUUGGCUUUAAUCAAGUGGCCUCAAGUUUUAGUGUGUCCAAGGACUGCUUGGGAAGCUUGUUAAAAAUGUAGUCUCCCAGAUACUCUGAUUUGUUAGCUCUAGGGUGAGGCCUAAGAAUCUGAAUCUUUAACAAGUUCCCCAGAGAUUCCAAUACAAGUAGUCUGCAGCCUACACUCUGAGAAACAUUCUCCUAAUCCACAGCUACAGACAACACCUUUUAACCUAAACCAGACAUCCACAAAAGGUGCUAUGUGUUGCCAGAAGAAUCAGAUGGGUAAGGGGAGUCAUUGCUUCCAGAAUGUGCUGGUAGCAGAAACUCAAAUCUCAAACAAUGGUAUACAAUGGCCACAAAUUAACAAGCAAGAGUUUUCACCCUACUUUGAGUCCAGGCCAAGACGUAUAGUCUUCAUUCUUGUCUCCCUGUGUGCAGGGACAUUUUUUUGCUAGUUCACCCUUUUAUCCCCACAUCACCUUUAAAAGCCCCAGCUCUCUGCAGAGAUGUCAGUAUCCAUUUUCUGCAUCCAGUAAACUCAAAGCCUGCUCUUCUAACUUGGUGUAAACAAAAACCAAGCUUCCAGGUUACUGAGCUGGCAACCUCCCUAGAGCUGUGCCACGUUGCUCAUAGACUCUAGGUCCCAGAGUUUAGUUUUCUCCUAGCCUCUGGGGCUUUUACCUAUUUUCUUGGAUGCUUGGAUGUGUGUUUAAAUGAUUUUGUUC
rnacentral:lncRNA from 1 species